rnacentral:rRNA from 1 species
AUCUUUUUAGAUCGUUCGGGCUGUAGCCCCAACGCCCGAACGCUCGAGCACUUCUCUCCCUUAUCCUCUCACUCCACCGCACUAGCCUUUCCCCAUUCUCCUAUCCACUCCUCUCCUGGCUGCUCCUCGGGCCAGCAGCAACCGUCGACGGGGAGCGCAGCUCGCCUUGUGUCGCGGCGGAGCAGGCGGCGGAACAGCCGGAGGAUGAGGAAGCUGGUGGAGGCGCGGUGUGACGGCAGCGGUGCGUGGUGGCUCGCCGAGGACGAUGAAGCGAGCGGAGGCGGCGACUCCCAGGCCAGCGCGGAUCAGCGGGGCUCCGACGCCGUGAGGAUAUGGCUAAGAUGGAGGUGGCGCGGCGCGAGCACUCGGUGGCUGGGGCACGUCGCGGAUGCAGCUGCGUGGUUGCGCUUGGAGUGCGAGUAAGCGGGCGGGGGCAGCGGCGCUGAGGCCCGCUAGACUCCGGUGGAUGUGGCCCUUGGUCGCCGCCGUCCGCUGGUCUCUUCGCCCGGCGAAUCGACGCCGGAUUUGUAGGGUCCAACGGCGCGGGGUGGCUCUGGUGACCUUGCGCAAGGACGGCACGCGCGGGGAAGACAACCACCAUGGCCAACCUAGUGGCGUCCCUGGGGCUCGGCAAUCACGAUGGGGUUCGAACUUCGCGGCCCGUGACGAGGCGGCUGUCGGCGCCAGAGGUCGACUCCCCGGUCAACGUCUCCUUCCUACGAAGGUACGCAUAUACUAUUGCCUCUACUCUGCUAACGCUAUUCUUACACGGAAACCUGCAUAAAUCAUGCUUAUUAAGACUAAAUUGUGAGUGUUGCUUUACUGGACAGAAGAAGAGAUUAUUCUUCAGAGAAUUGUGGCGUUUCUUUUGGUUUGUAACCAUCAUCAAUAACACAUGGGCAACUAUUCAGUAAUCUGUGUACCUUACACUACUUCCUCUUGUUUGUACUGAUAUGUGGAUUCCUCAAAUUUUGAAGCAGCCUCAACGUUACCAUCAGAUUCUAAUUCACUUUGGCAUGUCUCAAAUUCUGUUAUAUUUUUUCCUAGCUGAUUUCUGAGUCAAGUUGUGAUAAAUUAGUUAGCUUAGCUAUGUACUGAAGUUAGUUUAGUUUGGUGUGUACCCGAGGUUCUGCUUAAAAUAGUUACCAUUGUAUUAGACAUAUAUUUGACAUCUUAUUUAGCAAGAUAUUCCUCGAGAAUAGAUACAGUUUCCAUCUUGUCAAUUACAACUCCGACGUACAUUUUUU